GUAAAUGGCUGCAUAAACCUGAGUGUACUAAGGUAGCGCUAUAAUUUGCCCUUUAAAUGGGGGCUGGUAUGAAUGGGUUAACGUGAGAGUUGCUGUGUCACAAAAAUUGUUUGAAAUUAACUUUUAGGUGAAGAGGCCUAGCUAACCAUAUAGGACGACAAGACCCUAGAAGCUUUACUGUGGGGGGCCUAGUUAUAGGUCGCUUCGGUUUUGUUGGGGCAACAAGGUUAAUAUGUAUAACUUGUUUAUAUUUACUUACAGGUAAAAUCCACAUUAGUGAAUAAGAUAAGCUACUCUAGGGAUAACAGCGUUAUUUUUUUUAAUAGUACGUAUUGUAAAAAAAGUUUGCGACCUCGAUGUUGGAUUAAGGUGUCCUUAAGGCGUAGAAGUUUUAGAGGGUUGGCCUGUUCGUCCAUUAAAACCUUACA
rnacentral:rRNA from 1 species